GGCAAACGAUUGAAGAUGACGAGUCUGACGGAGCACGCCGCGUGAGUGAUGAAGGCUUUCGGGUCGUAAAACUCUGUUGUUAGGGAAGAACAAGUGCUAGUUGAAUAAGCUGGCACCUUGACGGUACCUAACCAGAAAGCCACGGCUAACUACGUGCCAGCAGCCGCGGUAAUACGUAGGUGGCAAGCGUUAUCCGGAAUUAUUGGGCGUAAAGCGCGCGCAGGUGGUUUCUUAAGUCUGAUGUGAAAGCCCACGGCUCAACCGUGGAGGGUCAUUGGAAACUGGGAGACUUGAGUGCAGAAGAGGAAAGUGGAAUUCCAUGUGUAGCGGUGAAAUGCGUAGAGAUAUGGAGGAACACCAGUGGCGAAGGCGACUUUCUGGUCUGUAACUGACACUGAGGCGCGAAAGCGUGGGGAGCAAACAGGAUUAGAUACCCCGGGUAGUCA
rnacentral:rRNA from 2 species